AUCAGCCGCGGUAAUCCCAGCUCCAAUAGCGUAUAUUAAAGUUGCUGCAGUUAAAAAGCUCGUAGUUGAAUUUCGGGACCAAUAUGUCGGUCGUGCCUCGGUACGUACUGGCAUCGUUGGUUUCUCCCUUCUGACGAACCAUGAUGUCAUUUAUUUGGUGUCAUGGGGAAUCAGGACUGUUACUUUGAAAAAAUUAGAGUGUUUAAAGCAGGCUCACGCUUGAAUACAUUAGCAUGGAAUAAUGAAAUAGGACGUUUGAUUCUAUUUUGUUGGUUUCUAGGAUCAACGUAAUGAUUAAUAGGGAUAGUUGGGGGCAUUAGUAUUCAAUUGUCAGAGGUGAAAUUCUUGGAUUUAUUGAAGACUAACUACUGCGAAAGCAUUUGCCAAGGAUGUUUUCAUUAAUCAAGAACGAAAGUUAGGGGAUCGAAGACGAUCAGAUACCGUCGUAGUCUUAACCAUAAACUAUGCCGACUAGGGAUCGGAUGAUGUUAAUUUUUUAAUGACUCA
rnacentral:rRNA from 1 species